UGUCAAGAGAUUUUCAAAUGUUUCAAGUAUUAUUCCCACUGCCAUUUGUACGUUAUUGAAAGUUUAUCUUUAAUUUUAGUGUUAAUAGUUGUUUACCCAUUUAUUCUUUCCAUUUAAUCGUAUUUUAUGGUUUUACUGUUUCGCUGAAGUGAAGCUUAAAUGAAAGACAAAAGCAUAGUGUUCUCAGAUAUGAUUCACCCAGUAUAUUUCCUCUGUACCUGGUUCUCUACGAGCCGUUUCACUCCCAGGAAGGGGAGAGCAGGACGUUCUUAUCUAUACACUCCCAAAUACAAAGAGGGGCCCAUUCUUCAGAAUCACACACACACACUCUGAGAUCAUAAACUUCACACACACACACAUACUCUGAAACGCUAUAAAUAAAGAACUGCCACAAAUGCUGGUUGUGAGCCUGAGACAGCAGCACUCACCCAGCGUGCGCACGUUGUUACCAUCUAAACUGUCUUGAGUGUCUUUAUUUCGCCUGAAGAAUGUCUUGUUUAAAUAUUUACUCCUCACAUUUAUUUGGUCCUUCGAGCCAACAGAGUGACCUCGUCGUUUCCUGGAUUCGUGAACCCACGCUGCAAAGUCUGUCGCGACAGCCUGUUUCUAGUGAAACAGUAAAGACCAACUACGUGAAUUCGCCGUUGGCCAGCGUUUUUAGCAAGAGGUCCACGAUCCCAGGGAGCGAGGAGGAUUCUCUCUGACCGGCAUUUUCAUCCGAAGCAGGUGAAUAUAAACACUCAACAACACAUUGCGGCUAAAAUCGGUUUUUAGAUUGACACGGUUCUUAAAAGACCCGUCCUUUAAGGACUGGAGGUCAGGGAUCUCACUCUUAUGAUGAAUGAAAAUAAAGGGAUCUCACUCUUACGAGUGAAUGAAAAUAAAGGGAUCUCACUCUCACGAGUGAAUGAAAAUAAAGGGAUCUCACUCUUACGAGUGAAUGAAAAUAAAGGGAUCUCACUCUUACGAGUGAAUGAAAAUAAAGGGAUCUCACUCUUACGAGUGAAUGAAAAUAAAGGGAUCUCACUCUCACGAGUGAAUGAAAAUAAAGGGAUCUCACUCUCACGAGUGAAUGAAAAUAAAGAACGUGUCAAUUAAAAUAGGAUUAUAGUACCGCGUGUGAAGUUUAUGUGUUGUUGUAGAGUGAGUGACCUUUUGAAUAGAAACAACAGGUUUCUGCACCACUCUUACUGUUUCCUGUGUUGACCGAUGUACUGGUGAGAAGGGGUCAAAGGUUGCGCUUCAACGCAUAAAAUUAAGGCCGCCCUGGGUCUAGACCAGGGUAGAAGGCUGCCUUAAUAACCUCCCCCGACUCUAAUAUCAGCGAAGGUCACACAGAGUGUAUGUUGGCAGUAUUAAUACAUAAAAGCAAAACAAGGUGUUUCCAAAUACAAUAAAAAAAAUAAAAUUAUAAGCAAUUUACAAUAAAAUAUUAUUGAUAACUCUAAGCCCAAAAAAUGGGAAAUAAACCCGCAAAGCCUGAAUUGACUGCAGAUGAACUAUGGUUAGAAAAGAAAUGCCCCAGUGCAGGACAAAUAAGCACAAACAGAUGGAGAAAUCCUAAAGAAACCUAAAUGUCCCACGUGGGAGGGAAAAUGUAUAACUAAAUUAUAAGAAACCCUCCAAGCAGAAAUAAAUACUGAAAAGGAUGCUAAAAAGAAAACAAAGCAUACACAAGAGUUGUAAUAUUUUAAAGCAUGGAAAGAGGAAUGAAGUGGAAUAAACAAAAGGUUAAAUUAAGGUUAACUUAAAUUAAAGCAAUGAAAUAAUAUUGGGAAGACAACCAAGCUGAAUGAAUGGAAUGCGUGAAACCAGAUAAUUCACACAAAAUAUAUCAAAUAAAAAAAGAGAGAUGCAUACGGCAUAUUAAGGCUGUGUCAUUGUUCAGCCAAGGAAAAUGUCUCCAGCUUGAGAAAGGGUGAGACUGCAGCUCACCCUCAGCCCUUGGUGGACACAAAUAAAAUAUUGUAAUAUACUAUUGCUGUUAAAUAAAAGAUAAUAACAUUAAUAAUGAAAUAAUAUUAAAUAUGAAGAGGCACCUCAGUCAGUUGUGAUGUGAGGUGGAUAAUUGUUAAAAGUAAUCUGUAUCAAGCUUAAGGUUUGCUCAAAUUCAGUAUAAUGACAUAUGAGAUGAAGAAAAUAAAGAAAAUAUGUAAACUAAUUAAGUGCAUAGAGACACUUGACCUGCUUGUAAACCUGUCAUCUUAGAUGAGAUUUUGUUAAGAUGAAGAGCAAACCUAUACUACCAAGCUAAUGAGCAAGAUACACACUUUUAUUUUGUAUUAAUUUCUUUUGUUUUUCAGAGCAGAAGCUGCAUGAUAUUAAAAGCUCACACAUGCAGCAGUCUGUGAUCUCAGUUUUUUCUCUCACACUUCUCCUUUGUUUCUGACAGCAGUUCUUUUUCUUUUUGUGUCCCAACUCGUGUGUAAGGCCUUCAUGCCAUCAGCAACUUGUUUUUGUUUGUUUGUUUUGUUGGUUUGAAAAACAAAUCUGUGAUCAUACUUGUGGAUCACAGUGACACGAAAUGAUUAGGCACAUGAUUUACUGAUGCCUAGUUUUAGAGCUGUGAGCUACGAGCUGUAAGCAAUGCUAAGUUUUUCCCAACUUAGAAGUUUGACAUAUGUAACAUGUAUGAGAUAUAUGAAUUAUUUUAAAACAAAAUAGAAAUUGUCCGAAAUGCCUUAAGAAAAUAUGUAGUGCUGUAUCUACAGAGAAAAAAGGAAGAAGAAGCAUUCAGUAACUUGGAAAUAGCCUUUCUACUUACAUGUAGAUGGAAGUGCAGGUUGCAUGAAAGCUGUUUUAACACAGGCAUUUGGAGAAAAACAACGUCUGCUUGCAUUUUACUUCUGCAAAUUAGACUCUGUUGUGUGCAGGCUGGUGUAGCUGCAGCAGAGGCAGUGAAAGGUCAGCUGACAUUGUUUUAGGACACACUUUAAUCAUCAAAGUGCCCCAUGCUGUGACUUCUGAAACAGCUCUCUUCAUGCAACUUCAUGCUUGAUGAUGAUACUUCGAGCCAGCUGAGAGCUGGGUUGAGAGCGAUGCUUUGUUUUAAGUGACAAAGCAGAAAAGUUAAACUUAGUUUGUUUUUGUUUGUUUGUUUGUUUUUAAUACGAGAGAAUGGUAAUGGAUAAGAAGUGAUAUUUUGUUUAAGUGUUGAAGAAAGCUAAAUACUGCAACAUACGUCUAGUGCAUGAUCUCACGAGCAAUGAAUGGAUCAUCUUAUUUAUCUUUAAAUAAACUCCGAUUAUGGAGACCUGAGUCACAUACUUAGGGUACACCCUCAGGUGAAGGCAGAAAGCUACUAAACAAAGAAAAGAAGCUAUAUACAAUGCGCGAUAGCCACAAGACUAAGCACUCACAUUCUUUCUGACUCUUAAUGAGCCUGAGUUAUGACCUUGGCUCCCUUUUUCUGCCUCCACCAGAGAUGGGAGUGAAGCUCCCGUGGAAUGUGCUCUGUUCUCCUUACUGCAUCUAUAAAAAUAGCAUUCAGUAACUUGGAUAUAACCUUUCUACUUACAUUUAGGUGGAAGUGCAGACUAGAUGAAAACAGUUAAAUUCAACAAAGAGUUCGAUUACUCUGGAGAAACGGGAAAUGUGUCUGUAACAGGAAAACGUGUAACAGGAACUACAUGCCCAUACAAAGGAGCUGACUGUGUCAAGACGCAGACAGACAGAGAGACACAGAGACAGCCAAUAUGUUUAUUCUAACUGUUUUAAUAGUUUUGCAAUUUUCGUUAGUUUUAUUUUUCUUUAGUUUUGACUUAAGAUUUUAAAACUAAACACAUUUUUUUGCUACAAAAUCAGUUAAUUUUGUGACCACUCAUUGCAGUUUUAGAUAGUUUUACUUUUGUUUUUAUUUUUAUUUCUGUUAACGAAAGAAUAUUUUUUUUUUUUUUUUUUUUUUUUUUUUGACUAGUUUUGUUUUUUUUUUCGUUGGUUUGACUUAUCAAUGAUGAAUUUGAUCUGCAGUACGCCAUUUUGAAAAUAUGGCAUGACAGAGGGCUUACAAUUUUGCAGACCAAGCAGCAAAAUCAGUAGCAGUACAAACAGUAGCCGCACUUAUGGUGACAACACCUCUAUGCAAAUUCCACUGGAUAUCUUGAGAAAUGAACCACACAUUUGUGCCAUUACUAGAGCGAAAGAAAUGGUUGAGGUGCGGAGCAAUUCUACAGGAUGAUCUGAUCAUAUGUGAUGGGAAACCGUUACAACCGAAGUCUUUAUACAAAAACAGUAGCUCUUGUGACACAUGAAGUUGUUCAUGCGUCAACAGGAGGGAGUCUAAUUAGUUAAAAACACUAGUUAAAGACACUUCUAUACAUUAAAUUUCAAACAAGUCAAUAAGAGAAACAACUCUAGCAGAGUGGAUGACAAAGUUGCUGGAAAACAGAGAAAUAGUUUUGAACAAUCAACUGCCGAGUGAUUCUCUUCCAGUUUCUUGCAGGUUGAAAAAGGGUUGAACCAAUCCAAGAACCACAAUCUCCCGAAUAGAAAAGUGAGCAGUAAAGUCUAGACUGCAGACCGCUCUAACCUCUGGUGUUCACUGGUGGGGAGAAGGGCUAUCAGUGGCAACACUGAGACACUCGCUCCUCUUGCUGGGUGUCUACUCAUUGGAGGCCAAGGGUGUGUCCACGGUCAAGAAGAGGAGAAACGCUCACAGAGGGAGACCUGAUGGAGAUGGAAAUACUAAAUGCAAACCAGGAUGCCCCUGAGGGUGAGAGACCGCACAGACGACGUCGAUGCUGGACAAGAGGAUGCCAACUGACCACUGUCACAACAAUGUGUUCCAUGCUCGUGUUCACAAUAUUCUUAUCACUGGCCCUGGUAGGCAUGAACACGGCCUGCACCAGCAACCCAUGUGACCCACACUGCCCGAGGAUUUACCGGCAGGCUCCAAAUGUGACGUGUCCUGAAAGGGGAACCAUUUUUAAGCUGCAGCCUAUGCCCAGAAGAACGCGCAGCGCAACGAGAAACAAAGAAGUGGAGAACAAUGCUGCACCUUCAUACCUAACAACACUGCAGCUGACGGCAGUCUGACCAGAGCCCUGGAAAGACUGAAGACCCUGAACGAGAAAAUGAAAGAACAUUCUGGAGUGGACACUUCCAUGUGGGACAGCUGGAUGGACGUGUUUGGAAAGUACCGCAGCCUAGUGUCAUCAAUCCUAGUGUCAAUAGCUGUUUUUGCAGCCAUAUUGACCCUAUGUGGCUGUUGUUGUAUUCCCUGCAUAAGAUCCAUGAGCAACAGACUGAUAGCCACAGCUAUUACACCGGACCCUGUCGGCCAAAAAGAAAUUAUGACACUGCUGGAGCACGCCGACACUGACUCAAACACCGACGACGAAGAUGAAGAAACAACCUGUAACUAAAAGAAAAAAGACACUCCUGUUAAUAAUGAAGCAACAGUUAAAAAUGCACUGUCCAGAGACUGUAUGCUGAUAAAAGUUAAAAUGUGUAAAAACAAAUUAACAACAGGAGGGAUAUGUCAAGAGAUUUUCAAAUGUUUCAAGUAUUAUUCCCACUGCCAUUUGUACGUUAUUGAAAGUUUAUCUUUAAUUUUAGUGUUAAUAGUUGUUUACCCAUUUAUUCUUUCCAUUUAAUCGUAUUUUAUGGUUUUACUGUUUCGCUGAAGUGAAGCUUAAAUGAAAGACAAAAGCAUAGUGUUCUCAGAUAUGAUUCACCCAGUAUAUUUCCUCUGUACCUGAUUCUCUACGAGCCGUUUCACUCCCAGGAAGGGGAGAGCAGGACGUUCUUAUCUAUACACUCCCAAAUACAAAGAGGGGCCCAUUCUUCAGAAUCACACACACACACUCUGAGAUCAUAAACUUCACACACACACACAUACUCUGAAACGCUAUAAAUAAAGAACUGCCACAAAUGCUGGUUGUGAGCCUGAGACAGCAGCACUCACCCAGCGUGCGCACGUUGUUACCAUCUAAACUGUCUUGAGUGUCUUUAUUUCGCCUGAAGAAUGUCUUGUUUAAAUAUUUACUCCUUACAUCCGGACUACAAAGCGCACCUGAAUAUUAGCCGCACAAGCUAAAAUUAGGGAAACUCCUGUUUUGUUCAUACAUUAGUCGCACCUGACUAAAAACCACAGGGUUCAAAGCUUGUGCAAAAAGUAGCGGCUUAUAGCCCGCAAGUUACGGUAAUUGCAUGUAGUUAGCCAAUGAGUGUAUGAUGCUUUACUUAAAGAUGAGCAUUGUCCUCUGCUUUUUGUUAUCUGACAGACAAACAUGGAUUUUAUGUUUAGGAAAUGAAACAAACAACAUCGAGCAGCAAUGCUUUAAGUUUGUCCACAUAUGUUCAAAUGCACAUUUCUCUCAGUAUUAGAAUUGGAUAAAGAGUGGUUAUACAGUGGACUUACAACUAACAAGAGAUUAAAAACAAGAAAUCUGUAUCUGGAGAUUAAUGAAAUAUGAAGCAAUGCUCCAUUUGUAUUUAAUGGUAAAGGACAUACUUUAAGCAAUGAUUUUACUUGUGACUAUUGAAAGCCAGUGUGAAGAUCUGCUCAAGUAGAAGUACAGAUAGUGAUCAAAUCUGUACUAAAAGCUGAAGUACUGAUUUGAAUUCCUUGCUGAAGUAAAAGUAAGGAAGAUGAGAAAAAGAAGGACAUUUUUGAAAAGUUCUAUUUUUUGUUAGCUACAUUGUAGAGGGUGACUCUGGCUAAAAUAUGUACAAUCAGGGUUAAAGUGGGAUUCAGCAGGUGGGGAAACCUAAAAUCAGUUUUAAUGGCUUGGUGUGGGAAAAAAAUAAUCUCAACUCAAUAAUUUCUAUUGAGAGCUCCAAUAGAUUUUGUUAAUGUGCAUGCUGUGGUCAGCUGACAGGCUGCUCUUUGUGGAUUUAUACACCUGAAUUCAACCAGAUGUCACCAGAUGUUUCAUGAACUAUGCUGGCUGAUUUCCAUUCUCUACACUGACAGCACUGUUUGUACUGUACUUACUUUAUACUAAACAGUACCUGAAAAGUCUAGUAACUCUUUAGUAACUAAAACGUAUUUGUACUUCAUUACUUCCCACCUCUGCGUGUGUUUGUGCGUGUGUGUGUGUGUGUGUGUGUGUGUGUGUGUGUGUGUGUGUGUGUGUGUGUGUGUGUGUGUUAGGGUAAGACGGGAGUGGAGGUGAAGCUGUGGGAUAUUAAUGAUGUUGGUGGUGUUGGUCUGUCCUCUGUCCUCGUGGAGAAGGCUGAUCCAUAUCGGUGUUUACCUGUUUCUGAUGCAGUGAGACAUUUUUCAUCCCUGCUUGUUAACACUUUCUCUCCCUGAUUCUUGCUUUUGUCCUAUUACAAGAAAAUAAUAGGUUAUUAAUGUAGCCUUACAUUUGUUUGCCAUCAUAUCAAAUGUGGUUUUGUUUGCAGUCACAGGUGUGAUUUAGAAAAGCAAAACUACACACAUAAAUACUCACAAACCACACGGCUGAUGAAGCUGUUUGAUUUGGAUACACAUAAAAAAUAGCACAUCAUUUGAAUUUUUUGCAGUGUUCAUCCUAAUGCACAACAGCACUGCAUGUCCUUUAUUUGAUUCUUGAAUCAAAUAAAUGUCAAAUUGUCAAGAGAUUUAUUUUAAAUGACACUUCUUCAGCUGAGAGUCUAAGAGUAAAGACACACACACUGCAGGUUUUACUUGCAAGGGCGGUCACAGAGCUCUGUUACCACCCCGGUCUUUAUUUAUAUGCAAAAAUAAUACAAUAGUGAAUACGUCUGUUCAUAGACAGAGCAAUGUUAGUGCGUAUGCAGGUGUAUGUGUGUUGUGGGAUUCGGAAGGGAGUGAAGAUAAGAGUGCUUCAGCUCUCCUCUUCCUGGUAAGAGUGAAACUGCUUUUUCAGCUAUUGUCGCUGUGGGAAAGUAUUCUAUCAUAUGUAGACUUAUAUCAUUAAAAGCUUAUACUGACUACUAAGUACAAUUUUCCAUUGACACAAACAUUACUCACUUUAGUAUUACAGAUACACAUAAAGUUCUGUAUGUGGAGUACCAUAUAGGAGGUUGGGCUAUGAUACUCUGCCAGCCUGGCCACACUCCACAGCUUACAUAUAAAACAGCUGUGCAGAAUAGUUUAUUGAUAAAUCAAUUCAUAAUGUGUUAAUUCAUCAUUGUCACAUGGUUCUAUUUGAACGCAAAUAAACUUUAUUUGAAUUAUACUUGGAGAGACAGAGUGGGGUGAAGUGCAGCGAGAAGAGAAGAGAAGAGAAGAGAAGAGAAGAGAAGAGAAGAGAAGAGAAGAGAAGAGAAGAGAAGAGAAGAGAAGAGAAGAGAAGAGAAGAGAAUCAUAAGAUGUCAGCAAACUCAUCAGUCUCCUCUCAGUCCUCUUUGGAUCUCAACCUUUCCUCCAUCGACACCUCCAUCUCUCUACUACUAAGGAAAUACUUAAUGCAAAACUAAGAUCAGAGUAGCGGUGAGACCUUCAACGCCUUUGGUUUAUUUGAAUAUACAAAACUCUGCAUAUCAUUUAAAUUAUUUCCACUUGUUGUCGUAUUGAACAAAAUAAAGAGCAGCGGGUGGAUGAAGCCCAGUCUGGUGUGUGGUAGUCAAAGAAGAAAUGCAGGACAUGAGUGAAGUGAAGGUCUGCAUUAGUGUAGAGUAAUCUUAGUGGUUGAUUUGUGUCUAUGUCUACAUUAUGCAUGUUUCUGUCAAAAUAACUGUCACUGCUGAACUGUUUUUCUAAGUUUGCCAUUGUUUCAGUUUUUUCCAUAUUUAAAUUGACUGUUUUGAGGCAGGAGGUGGAGUGGGGCUGAAAUAUGUUUUGAACAAAUACUUGCAAAUAGACACGUCGUUCCUGUGAGAGAAACACAGAGGAAGUUCAGAUACAAACAGAGAGAGGGUCAGUGGAAAGUAGUCAACUUUUCCAGAAAAUCAAGUGUGAGAUAUAUCCACCAUACAGCAGCACUACCGUUCAUUUUUAUUUCCACUGAUGUAAUCUGAUAUGGUUUAACCUUUAAUAAUCUUUUGUCCCAGAUUUUUCUCUCACAUUUUGCAUCACACAUGUUGACACAUUGACAAAUGUUAAACAAAGUCUUGGCGGUAAAAUGAUAGUAUCAUGUACUGUAUUGUAUAAUUCACCAAACGUACCUUAAGUUAAAAAAAAUCUAUUUUCCAGUAUUACUGAAAAAAUAAAUUAAUACAUGUUUAAAGGAAGAAACAGCAGAAGUUUCUUUAUUUCUUAAAAUUAUUUCAAAUCCAUAAUUUAAUGUGAUUACUUUAGAAACUUUUAGCAUUUCUAUCUGAUGUUUAUGGAUGCUUGUUUCCUCCACCACAGCUACAGACAGAAGUAAGUCAAACAGUUAUUGCAAAUGCUGUAGUAUUAUCUCAAACUUUUUGACUUAAUGGCUGAUUGUAAGAAAAUUUCAAAUUACUUCUGAGUAAUUUUAAUUUGGCCAUAUAUUACAGCUUUGGGGUUCCAUAGCAGCACAGUUAAUGUAUAAGACAACACAAAAAGGGGGAAAAAGUUGUAUAUACAAACUAUACAGAGAUUAAAAAGACAGAUUUAAUUUAUGUUUGUUCCAAUGAUUUGGCUUUUUUCCCACUUCUUCUAUUCUAUUCUUUUUUUAUUCUUUUUUUUGCCCCAGAUGUCGACAAACUUAUUUUUCUCCCCUUUCGAUCUGCACCUUUCCUCCAUGAACAUCUCGCUUCCAUUAUACAUGUACUGUAUCAUCUCUAAACCAAGCUCCUACAUCUAUUGUGCACUGAGCAUCAUUAUCAUCUUCCUCGUCCUCCCCGUCUGCAUCCUCAUCCUCCAACAUGGUCUCCAAGAAUGGAGGAAACAAG
ensembl:lncRNA